CAGCAGCCACGGUAAUACGGAGGGCGCGAGCGUUACCCGGAUUUACUGGGCGUAAAGGGCGUGUAGGCGGCCUGGGGCGUCCCAUGUGAAAGGCCACGGCUCAACCGUGGAGGAGCGUGGGAUACGCUCAGGCUAGAGGGUGGGAGAGGGUGGUGGAAUUCCCGGAGUAGCGGUGAAAUGGGCAGAUACCGGGAGGAACGCCGAUGGCGAAGGCAGCCACCUGGUCCACUUCUGACGCUGAGGCGCGAAAGCGUGGGGAGCAAACCGGAUUAGAUACCCCAGUAGUCCCUGUCUCUUAUAC
rnacentral:rRNA from 1 species